CGCGGGGUGGAGCAGCCCGGUAGCUCGUCAGGCUCAUAACCUGAAGGUCGUAGGUUCAAAUCCUGCCCCCGCAA
rfam:Candidatus Filomicrobium marinum strain Y genome assembly, chromosome: 1